GGGGAUGCCGGGCAUCGAUGAAUUGGCACCUUUAAAUUCGGCAAGCCGAGUUCGAACACUACUCGUAAAUCAGGUUCAACCUAAAGUGCUGACUUAAAAGCACGUGUGGGAGAAUUGGUCGCCAAGAUCAAUCCUUUCAUCUCUCGUUCUGCGUACGCAUUCGCUUAAGCUGGAACGAAGAGCGUCUUAAUUUUGCUUCCCCGACUGCAUUAUCAAGGCGAAAACCAAUCGGGGUGCGCUGCAGCAGUACUGUAGUUAGACUCGCUUCAGCCAAGACCACUAACUGCAAACCGUCCUUCAUCGGACAAAAAGCUUGUACAACCGGAUUUUCAGACCAUUUCAGACGGGGGUUCAACUCCCCCCAUCUCCACCA
rnacentral:tmRNA from 3 species